UACGUAGGUGGCUAGCGUUGUCCGGAUUUACUGGGCGUAAAGAGCGCGCAGGCGGUCGUUCAAGUCGAGUGUGAAAGCCCCCGGCUCAACUGGGGAGGGUCACUCGAUACUGAUCGACUCGAAGGCAGGAGAGGGAAGCGGAAUUCCCGGUGUAGUGGUGAAAUGCGUAGAUAUCGGGAGGAACACCAGUGCGAAGGCGGCUUUCUGGCCUGUUCUUGACGCUGAGGCGCGAAAGCUAGGGUAGCAAACGGGAUUAAGAU
rnacentral:rRNA from 1 species